UGCGCAAGCACGACAGGGUUUCCGAGUGGUUUCUGCUAAAGGAACCUUUUGUUAGUCCUAGAAACACUAACGAAUAAGGGGUGGGCAAGUUCUGGUGUCAGCCGCCGCGGUAAAACCAGCACCUCAAGUGGUCAGGAUGAUUAUUGGGCCUAAAGCAUCCGUAGCCGGCUCUGUAAGUUUUCGGUUAAAUCUGUACGCUCAACGUACAGGCUGCCGGGAAUACUGCAGAGCUAGGGAGUGGGAGAGGUAGACGGUACUCGGGAGGAAGUGGUAAAAUGCUUUGAUCUCUCGAUGACCACCUGUGGCGAAGGCGGUCUACCAGAACACGUCCGACGGUGAGGGAUGAAAGCUGGGGGAGCAAACCGGAUUAGAUACCCGGGUAGUCCCAGCUGUAAACUAUGCAAACUCAGUGAUGCAUUGGCUUGUGGCCAAUGCAGUAUUGCAGGGAAGCCGUUAAGUUUGCCGCCUGGGAAGUACGUACGCAAGUAUGAAACUUAAAGGAAUUGGCGGGGGAGCAC
rnacentral:rRNA from 1 species